rnacentral:rRNA from 1 species
GACGAACGCUGGCGGCGUGCUUAACACAUGCAAGUCGAGCGGAGCGGCGAACGGGUGAGUAACGCGUGAGUAACUGCCCCCCUCUCUGGGAUAACAGUUGGAAACGGCUGCUAAUACCGGAUAGUGGGGGGGGACUCGGGUCCUAUCAGCGUGUUGGUGGGGUAGUGGCCUACCAAGGCGACGACGGGUAGCCGGCCUGAGAGGGCGACCGGCCACAUUGGGCUGAGAGACGGCCCAGACUCCUACGGGAGGCAGCAGUGGGGGAUAUUGCACAAUGGGCGAAAGCCUGAUGCAGCGACGCCGCGUGGGGGAUGAAGGCUUUCGGGUUGUAAAGUUCUUUUAUAUGGGAAGCGGUACCAUAAGAAAAAGCCCCGGCUAACUACGUGCCAGCAGCCGCGGUAAUUC